rnacentral:misc_RNA from 1 species
AAAACUGCUAUGGAUAUAUAAUUAUUUCUUUGCAGUCAUGGCACUACGUUAGUAUCAUAUCAGUCUAGUGCAGAAUUGUUCACUGGUGUUAUCUUGGUGCAUGAGCUGCAGUAACUUAAAAGCUCAUAGCUUUGAUGUAUUAUAAUGGGGUUAAUGGGUUAUAGAAUAGUUAAGUACUCAGACUUCCUUUUAAUAGUUAGUUUUAACGUUCUUG